GAACGGGUGAGUAACACGUGGGUGAUCUGCCCUGCACUUUGGGAUAAGCCUGGGAAACUGGGUCUAAUACCGAAUAUGACCACGCUCUUCAUGGGGUGUGGUGGAAAGCUUUUGCGGUGUGGGAUGGGCCCGCGGCCUAUCAGCUUGUUGGUGGGGUAAUGGCCUACCAAGGCGACGACGGGUAGCCGGCCUGAGAGGGUGACCGGCCACACUGGGACUGAGAUACGGCCCAGACUCCUACGGGAGGCAGCAGUGGGGAAUAUUGCACAAUGGGCGCAAGCCUGAUGCAGCGACGCCGCGUGAGGGAUGACGGCCUUCGGGUUGUAAACCUCUUUCACCAGGGACGAAGCGCAAGUGACGGUACCUGGAGAAGAAGCACCGGCCAACUACGUGCCAGCAGCCGCGGUAAUACGUAGGGUGCGAGCGUUGUCCGGAAUUACUGGGCGUAAAGAGCUCGUAGGUGGUUUGUCGCGUUGUUCGUGAAAACUCACAGCUUAACUGUGGGCGUGCGGGCGAUACGGGCAGACUAGAGUAUUGCAGGGGAGACUGGAAUUCCUGGUGUAGCGGUGGAAUGCGCAGAUAUCAGGAGGAACACCGGUGGCGAAGGCGGGUCUCUGGGCAGUAACUGACGCUGAGGAGCGAAAGCGUGGGGAGCGAACAGGAUUAGAUACCCUGGUAGUCCACGCCGUAAACGGUGGGUACUAGGUGUGGGUUCCUUCCUUGGGAUCCGUGCCGUAGCUAACGCAUUAAGU
rnacentral:rRNA from 1 species